rnacentral:lncRNA from 1 species
AUUACGUGCAAUUCGCUCUUUUGUUUUGCCCCGUCUGCUAGUAUCGAUCGAUAUCUUACCAUAGUUUUUGCCUUUUGAACAUUUACCAAAAUAAAUUUUUUUAAAUGGCUUAUUCCAACUGAAAAUCUUAAUUAGAAUAUAAAUGAGCAAUUUUUUGGGGUGAUUUUCAAAUUCAAAACUAUUCGUGUUCACACGGCACAGAGGAGCUGUAGAUCUUUCGCGAUCAAUCAAUAUAACGAAUAGACUGUUUGUGCAUGGUUUUGGAUUGUGUUUCUGUCUCAAGCUCAGCUUUGUGUAAAAUUGGUUUGGAGCUGGACCUCAGAACCUAUACUGUCUGUAAAGAGUGUUGCAGGGCACAACAAUUACAUCCAGUCUUUUCAUCAUUUUCUGAAGGAUCUAAAAAACAUGGCUGGAGGCUUCAUGGCCAACAGGAUAGACAAGCUGCAGCAUAAACACCACCUAGCCAAAGAAAAGUUAACAAGAAUUUUUCAAAAAUUAUUCACUUCCUUCAGAAA